UCUGAAUGUAAAGUAUCUUUCCCUCACCAUUGACAUCUGUUUCUGCAGGAUUUUCUUCCAAGGGAGAUGGAAAACCCAAACUGGGGAAUGUGCAAGAUCUAAACUCCAGCUCAUUAGGCUGAGAUAAAAUGUAGUGAAUGUUCUAUGAUCCUGUGCAAGAAAAGAUGGAGAAAUCUAUCUAUCAAAGGUUUACUCUAACCAAUUUCUGGUCAGGAAGAUGUAACUAGGGCUCAUCCAGACUGAUGCAAAAUAAACCAACCUGGAAAGCUGGUAAAAAAGUCUCUUAUGCCAGGAGCUGACAUAAAAUAUUUUGGGAUAAACAAAACAUGUAUAGAUCUCUGCAAUAAAAUAAGAAAAAAACAGGAACAAAAUCUGGGGCUUUCUGAUCUUUUAAUUAGUCUGGAUGCACCCUCAGUCUCAAAGGUAAUGCAGUAUCCUUUUGCCUACUGAUCCAGACUAACAUAUUUAUGCAUUUAUAAGGACAGUGUAACUGGU